CUUAAAGUUCUAGAACUUGAUCCAAAAGUUCACAAUGGGCUGAAAAACAGAGGCAUGAACUAAAGCUAGUAGUAUGGAAGCCCACAAACCUUUCCCAAAACUCAAAAGUACAAAAAGGAGUUCAAAAUAAACAAACGCCCAAACUGCGCUAGGGAACUCCCAGUUGAGAGCAGCAAACUGCAGCAUUAAGUAACAGAUUAUUUGGAUUUGCCUAAAUUUAUAUUUAGUAAUUUAUAGGUAUACAGAGAAGAACUUAGGAAGAAAUGCUGUGCCUGCUCAGUCUCUUGAACAGGGGCCCAUUUUUCGACUUUAAACUGUUAUGGUUCCAUCCUAUGGAAUCCUGGGUUUGUAGUGUGGAGAGGCACUAGAACCCUCUGGCUGAGAAUUCCAGAUGUGCCCAGGAUUCCAUGGGAUAUUGCCAUAAGAGUUAAAGUGACAGUCUAAUUGUGGAGGGUGAAUGGGCCCUCAGGAGCUCACUCAAUGAUUGGCAACUUUGAGGCCCUGGUUCUUCCUUAUGAAAUUUCCUUGGUUUUCAACGGGACAUGGUCUGAGCAGUUAUAGGAAUUCUACAACUCUCCAGAUGGCGCUGGACUGAAACUCCCAGCAACACUAGCCAGCAUAGGAGUUGUGAAGUCCAACAACAUCUGGAAACAUAUAUGAAUCCCAAUCCUGAUGUACAGCUGAAACAUGUGGCUGUGUGUCAUAUACUUUGAAAAGGUACAACCUGCAAUCUCUUCUUUAAGAAUGUUAACUAAUUCUGUAGCCCAGUAUGCUUUUUAAUUAGUUUUAAGGAACUUUGCAGUUUCUGCACAUUCUAAUGUUUUUUUUAAUUGAAAAUGACUCUAGGGUUACAUUGGAAGAUCUAGCCAAUGUCUCUGACGCAUUGGAAGACCGAACUAAUGACUUUAGAGUCCAACUGGAGGACCUAGUCAAUGACCAUGAACUUCCUUUGGAGGACCCUACCAAUCUUUAGAGCAGUGGUUCUCAACCUGUGGAUCCCCAGAAGAUUUGGCCUUCAUCUCCCAGAAAUCCUAACAGCUGGAAAACUGGCUGGGAUUUCUGGGAGUUGUAGGCCAAAACAUCUGGGGACCCACAAGUUGAAAACCACUCAUCUAGAGGAUGCUGCUAGGAAUCUCUAGGUCCUUCAGCACAACUCUGGUAAUUUCCUGGUGUUCCAUUGCAACCAUGGUUUCAGGUAAGCCAAGAAUGUUUCUUCCAUAGAGACAGGGUGUGACUGUAUACCAUUUUUGAGUCUAAGUCAUCUAUAAUAAUUUAUGAACGCACCUGUCCUUCAUUUCCAUUUAUCCUCCCUUUCCAGGUUUUCAUCCUCUGCCCACCUUUUUCAAAGAAAGAUUAACCAAAGCAGCUGAUGUUCUGAUUAUCUCUCAGACAAGGCAGUCUGUGUGAUCUGUGGAGGCUCAAGCAGAGCAUGUCCUCAAAUUAGAAGAUCUUGAUCUGAACCUGGGGACCCAGUGUGUGCUUCCCUCUUCCACUUGCCUUCUCCUUGACAUCUCAGGGGGUGUCUUUCCUGUGGGAUGAUUGUAGUUUGACUACACUUGAGCUGCCAUGGUUCUAAGCAGCUUAAGGGGCUUAAAUUGGGUAUUCCUGCCUAGCAAAAGGGAACUGGAAUGGAUUGGCUUUGAGGUGCCCCUUUCAAACACCAUAAUUCAUCCAUGCCCUGCUGCCUAGGAGUCCAGUGGAGUCACCUUCUUCACCAGACUCCCAGGAUGGCCAUCUGUCGGGAGGGGUCGGAUGUGUCUAACUUGAUAGAACAAGGGGGUAGGACCGGAUGGCCUUUGGAGUACCGCCCAGCUUGAGGACUGAUCCUUCUGCACACUCAACCCCCGUACUCUCUAUCUCUCUCUUGCUGUUUUCUUGCUUUGGGAAUUGGCCCGUUUCCCUGUGUGGUCCUCCCACAUUGGGCUCUGUGGAGAUAAAAAGUAGAUCGCUGCAAAGGGACGGAGGCCGGAGCAAUGAAGCUUUCCCCUUUGGUGAUUCUCUUUCAUUUCGCUGCAACAGGGUCGAAAGGCAAGAUUUUCUCGAGAUGCCAUUUGGCCCAUAUUCUGCACAAUGCUAAGGUGGACGGAUACGAGGGCGUCCGCUUGGCUGACUUUUACAUCAGGUUAAAGAACAUGCAGUCCUUCAGAAGUUGUUGGGUUGUAACUCCCAUUGGCUACAUUGGUCAACAACAUCUGAAGGUAAGUAUAUAUUAAUUAUAUUAAUCUAUAUGACUUGGUGGAUCUGGACCAAAUUUGGUACACAAGACCCAUCAUAUAUUUAUUUCAUGUCAAAAGCAUUGCAUAACAAAUACAUUUUAAAAUGAUGAAGAAAAAAAAUAGAGGAAAUCACAAACAACUAAAUAGUUUUAGACCAGAAACGGGCAACAGCAACCGCAUUGUCCGUAGCUUUAAACAACUCCUCCUCCAUGCAUGAGGCAGGGCAUUGUGGGCAAGCAUACAUAUGCUGAGUUGUUUGUUCUGCUCCACAGUCACACAAGGUGGAGGAUUCCUCCAGGUAGUGCCACCUCGCCAAGUUGUCUUUAGAUCUGCCCACUCCACUUCUGAGUCUGUUCAGGGACUUCCAAGUUGCGCAUUCUUGGUUUGCCCCUGGAGGAAGACCCUCUUGGGGGGCCAUCCAGUUAGAAUUGCCAGGUUUUAGCUGCCCAGAGGGACACCCUUGCUGCUGCUGGAGGAACAUCAAGAGGAGUGGUGGUUCUCAUGAAGCCCUUCCUUGAUUUGAGUCUGGUGGGCGGAGGCUGAUAGUCAUGCAGUGGGUGGCUUUCACAAUGUUCAACCUUAUUUCUCUCACCGUUAGCAGCAACUUCCCGUCGCACGUCAGGAGGGGCAAUGCCAGCUAACUUGUAGAGUUUAUCAACAGGUGUAGGUUUAAGGCAUCCUGUGAUUAUUCUGCAUGUUUCGUUUAGUGCUAUGUCCACUUGCUUUGCAUGGGCAGACUUGUGCCAAACAGCACUACUACGUUUGUUGUAAUGUUGAGGUCAGAUUUGCCCUCCGCGACUUGCCGGAUCCGGCGGGUUACCCACCCUUCGGUGGAACCUCGGAUCGACAGCAGUCCACUCGGUGGGGUGUCUCUUCCUUAUUCAUUUGUGGGUUUGAUUUCUGUGCCACCAUGUCUAAAAUAACACACAUGUGUGAACAAAGAGAUUCUAAUUUCGUGUUUGUCAAUCCUAAUAGGUAUAAUUCUGGUCUCAUUUGGAGUUUCUUUUUCAUUAUUUUUCCGCAUUCUUUGUGUAUUUCUUUCCAAUAUUUCUUUGACUUAGUGCAUGACCACCACAUAUGAAAGAAUUUGCCCUCUUGCUCCUGGCAUUUCCAGCACUUUGUUCGUAUGUCUUUAUUGUAGUGUCCUAAUUUUUCCGAGGUGAUGUACCAUCUGUAUUGCAUUUUAUAUUGGUUUUCUUUUAGGUCCGAGGCGUAGGUGAAUUUUAUGUUUUUGUUCCAUAUCUUUUCCCAUUCCUCAUACCUGAUUGGUCUUCCAAUGUCUCUGGCCCAAUGAGUCAUGCAUUCCUUGACAUGUUCUGUUUCGGUAUUCCAUUCCAAUAGUUUUUUGUAUGAGUAUGAUUCUUAUGGUUACCACGGAGGUGCUAGUCGCCUUUGCCCACACAACUUAUAAGUUUGGUUGAGCAAUUAAAAAACGGUUUAACUACACACACACACACACACACACACAUAUAUAUAUAUAUAAAGAAAGGGAACAUCCACAGGGGGUACAUUCCUGAACUUACCACGUGGAUAUGAAAGUAUGGAAAAUAGUGAACCUUAUUCAAAUGGCUGAUUUCUGCUAGAAGUUACCAUAGAGGUAUCCACUCUAGGAUUUUGCACUAGGGAAACUCUGUGGUAAUUUCAGGCUUCAAUCUGAUGUUUGGAUUAACUCAGAAAUACACAGAGCCAAUAUGAUUUAGAAGAGGAAUGAUUUCUGAGAGACUCAGCUCAGGUAAGAUAACCUAAAGGCACAGGUAACUGAUCCCAUUUGAUCUUGAAAAUGAAACAGGGAUAGCUCUGGUUAGUAUUUAUUUAUAUAUUUAUUUAUUUACAGUAUUUAUAUUCCGCCCUUCUCACCCCGAAGGGGACUCAGUGCGGAUCACAUUACACAUAUAAGGCAAACAUUCAAUGCCUUAGCAUAGAACAAAGACAGGGACAAACGCGGGCUCUGAGUUGGCCUCGAACUCAUGACCUCUUGGUCAGAGUGAUUUGUUGCAGCUGGCUGCAGCUGGCUGCUCACCAGCCUGCGCCACAGCCACAGGUCACUAAUAAAUACUGACAAAGGAACUGGCAAAACUACUUCUGAGUAGUCCUUGCCUAAGAAAAUCCUAUGAAAAUCAUGGGGUCAUCAUAACAGCCAACUUGAAGGCAUAAACUUGUAUAGAAUUGAAGACUGACUGCUCCAAAAUGUAUUCAGCAACUUGAACCCUGAUAGGUGUCAAAGGACAACCUGGAACUUUAGCACUCAUUGCAGAAUGCAUCAAAGGGCAUCACUUUGAGAUAGUGUAGAAAAUCUAAGAAGAAGCAGAGAGGAUAAAGAAAAAGGGAAAGAUGAAGAGAAAAACAGUUCACUGAAGCAUGGAUUUUUCCCAUUUAGAGGUUAUGUUCUCUGGACUCAGUCUGCUGGGCUCCUUUGUCCUCCUGCAUUUAAACUCAUGGCAGCUAGUUGAGCAUUAAGCAUAAAAGAAGAAACUUUUUGAAGGUUUUAAAAGCCUGGAAGGUUUAUGUGACAAAGAGCAGGAGGCUAAACAUAAGCGAUACCAGUGUAUUAAGCUAGCCUCUCAAAAGAGACAAGGCUACCUUUAAAUUGUUUAGGGCUCAACUGGAUGGGGGCUUCAGGUAGCUCUUGCCAUCUAUCUGGCUGAUGGAUCACAGUGGCUCAGUUGCCUUGGAUAUUUGGUUUCAAAAAAGAAAGGAUUAAUGUAUUUUUUCAAUCUUCAUAAUAUGCUGGAAUUUGAGCUGGAGUCUUUCUUAUCCAAGAUUGUGUUUCAUAAAAAAAGGCACCUUCUCUUUAGCUAUCCAAGGCAAGGGGUAGCUAAGGAAAAUGGGAUACACAUAAAAUCACAGGUUUUAGACUUUAUAAAGUAUUUUCUAUCUAAAUGCAGAUUUCUGGAAAAUGUCCUAGAAAAUUUUACACCCAGCAUGCAAAUCAGGACUCCACAGAGAAUUUCCACUAGGAGCUUCUU